rnacentral:rRNA from 1 species
AAGACGGGUGGCUUAAGAUCAUUAUGCCAACAUCCUAGUCAAAAGACGCAGUCCUCGGUCUAGACAGGCAGUAUCAACCAAGGCUAUAACACUCCACCGAAGUAGAGCCACAUUCCUUAGUCAUUAUCCUACCAUCCAAACCGAUGCUGGCCCAGUAAGCUGCGAGGAACCCAACCAAGAAGGAAAGGAUCGCAAAAUACCAAGUCUGAUCUCAAGCCCUUCCCUUUCAACAAUUUCACGUACUUUUUCACUCUCUUUUCAAAGUUCUUUUCAUCUUUCCAUCACUGUACUUGUUCGCUAUCGGUCUCUCGCCAAUAUUUAGCUUUAGAUGGAAUUUACCACCCACUUAGAGCUGCAUUCCCAAACAACUCGACUCUUCGAAAGCACUUUACAUAGAAUUGGGCAUCUCAUCGCACGGGAUUCUCACCCUCUGUGACGUCCUGUUCCAAGGAACAUAGACAAGAGCCAACUCCAAAGUUACCUUCUUCAAAUUACAACUCGGACACCGAAGGUGCCAGAUUUCAAAUUUGAGCUUUUGCCGCUUCACUCGCCGUUACUAAGGCAAUCCCUGUUGGUUUCUUUUCCUCCGCU